AGAUUGAACGCUGGCGGCAGGCCUAACACAUGCAAGUCGAGCGGCAGCACGGGUACUUGUACCUGGUGGCGAGCGGCGGACGGGUGAGUAAUGCCUAGGAAUCUGCCUGAUAGUGGGGGAUAACGUUCGGAAACGGACGCUAAUACCGCAUACGUCCUACGGGAGAAAGUGGGGGAUCGUUCGGACCUCACGCUAUCAGAUGAGCCUAGGUCGGAUUAGCUA
rnacentral:rRNA from 1 species